AUUGAACGCUGGCGGCAGGCUUAACACAUGCAAGUCGAACGAGUGGCGGACGGGUGAGUAAUGUCUGGGAAACUGCCUGAUGGAGGGGGAUAACUACUGGAAACGGUAGCUAAUACCGCAUACCAUCGGAUGUGCCCAGAUGGGAUUAGCUAGGGGGUGGGGUAAAGGCUCCCCUAGGCGACGAUCCCUAGCUGGUCUGAGAGGAUGACCUGCCCCACUGGAACUGGGACCCGGUCCAGCCUCCUACGGGGGGCAGCAGUGGGGAAUAUUGCACAAUGGGGGCAAGCCGAAUGCAGCCAUGCCGCGUGUAUGAAGAAGGCCUUCGGGUUGUAAAGUACUUUCAGCGGGGAGGCGUUACCCGCAGAAGAAGCACCGGCUAACUCCGUGCCAGCAGCCGCGGUAAUUC
rnacentral:rRNA from 1 species